UACGUAGGGGGCAAGCGUUGUCCGGAAUCAUUGGGCGUAAAGCGCGUGUAGGCGGUUCGGUAAGUCUGCUGUGAAAGUCCAGGGCUCAACCCUGGGAUGCCGGUGGAUACUGUCGAACUAGAGUACGGAAGAGGCGAGUGGAAUUCCCGGUGUAGCGGUGAAAUGCGCAGAUAUCGGGAGGAACACCAAUUGCGAAGGCAGCUCGCUGGGACGUCACUGACGCUGAGACGCCGAAAGCGUGGGGAGCAAACAGG
rnacentral:rRNA from 1 species